GGAAUUCUGGGAAGCCCUCAGGUUGUCUGAUAAAUGCUGUCCAGUAAAUAUAUUCUCUUGCCUUCUGCGAUGCAAAAUUACUUUCCUGCUUGUCUUCCCAUCGAAGAAAUGCCUCUGCAGUGGGUUUGGAUGGCAAAUCUCACCUGGAAACUGUUGCUAAGUGAAACUUACUUUUGUUGAUGAAUAGUUUUUCUUGGAGCAUCUAUCAGUAAGAAAAUGGGAAGCAGAAUCACAGACUAGGAGGCAAGAGGGCUGGGAAUGGAACAGAAUUUGGCAUAAGAGUGCAGCAUGAAGAUGUCACCUGCAGGUGAUUCUGUCAGUGAAUCAGAGAAAGACAGCCUGCAGUGAAUACAGAGGAGUUUGGUAAAAGAUCAGCUCUGAAAAGAAAUAAAUCUGCCUGCCAAGGACAGAAAAUCACAGGAACAGCUCAAGGCAGUGGUGAACAAGAGGUGACUUGCUGUAGAGGGUCAGCUUUAAGGAGCUGAGGUGGCUGCCCUGACAAUGCUCCACACUGGAACUUUCUUGUCUGCAGCCUUCCCUUUGUGGGAACUGACUCUAAUUAUCUCUCCUGCCCAGUGCAUGCCAGUGCUGCCUGCCUAAAUAUCAGCUCAUUCUGAAGACUGCCAGGUGGGAAAGUGUGUAAUUGCCUUCCCUCAAGAGGCAGCAGCUCCUCGAGUGUGAAGAGUUCACAAGCACAAAUUCUUGAACUCUGAAGGAGCUUUUCUCGAGUAUUUCUACCCUUUUUCUGUGCUGGCACAGUGGUUACAGCUGGUCUGGGACUGUGGUGCUGCACUUCAGGAUGGGAGUGAGAGGAAAUCUUCAGGAUGGGUUGCAAAGUCAUCCCAGCCCCUUCUCAGAGUGAGGGAAAGCAGAAUCUGUCUUCCUACCCCGACAAAGUUAUGUGUCACCUUCCUGUCGUUUACAGAACCAUCCUCUCUUUCAUGUCUGGUUCUUACAUAUUUGGAGAGGGAGUGCCAUCGGGAAGAUUUGUGUCCAAUGGGAGCAUAUGAGCCUGGGCAUUCAGUGAUGCUGUUCUCUUUGUCUUUCAACUUGUGAAGGCAUUCAUUUUGCCAUUUGAACACCAGCUCUCAUAAGAACUGGUCUUUUUAAUAUCUUCUGAGAGGAUUCAUUCUUGCUAAGAUUUGCAAGGAGUCUAACUUACUUAGGAGACUUUGGGUGUGAAUGGAGAUGAUCAGGAUUUGGACCAUGCAAAAACAUCAGGACUGUGCCAAUGUUUAUCUUCAUGAUCAAAAUUCCAUGAUAAUGACCCUGUUUUCUUGAGCAAAUGUGACUUUAUAAUCUCCAAUCUCUUAAUCUGUGACAAAAUGCAAUUUGUGCUGUUUAUAAACUUAUGGUCUUUUGGGGGUCCUAUUUUUUUUUACUCAGUAUAUUAGAAAUGUUGAAGGAGGAUCUGUGUGGUUAGAGGCUGAAGGUUUUCUUUCUCUAUUUCUCUUCAAAAGAUAUAAUUAGCACAGUGCUGUUUUAUGCAGGAGGACCACAGACUUGAACAGGGAAAACUUUCUCUGGCUUGGUGCUCUACAAGGAUGAAUGAUGAGACUUCUUUCUACAUGACAGCAUUACUUUCUGUGCACUGACAUCAAUGGGAGAAGUUGCCUUCUUGUUCUAAUCACUACUUAAAAACAAGUGAUGGUUCCUCAUGCAGUCCAUUUGAACCUUUUGGCCUUUAGAAAUCUUUUGGAAAUUGGGCUGUAAACUUUUUGAUAUCGUUCAGUUUACCCAUUUUCCAGCCUUAGGGCUUUCCUGUAUCUCCUGCCACAGGUGUAAAUUGUAGUCCUUACAUUUAAUAAAGAGAGGAAACAUGUCAGGAUAGCAUUUAUGUGUGCUGCAUGCAGGCUGGGCAGACUGACAUGGCCACAUUUCUAGCACAAGAAAAAGGUACUGAACUCAGUGAUUUGUGGUUUCAAAUGUUGAUAGGAACAGACAGGAGGCAGCCCUUACUUUGGGGUUUCUCCCCUGGCAAAACUAGAGCUUGAACUGCAGAGUCCUCUGUGUAUGUGUGGGAGUGAAUGGAGCUUCUCCUCUGGGAGACAAUGAAAUAGAAUACAACCUUCUAAUUUUUUAGGGGUGCAGCACAGUAUUGGCCAUUCCAUCCUUCCUUCUGCUGCUGUCUGUCCAUCCUUCGUUUUCUCUAAUGGUGCCCCAGACCUGUUGCAUGUUUGCAGUCUUUUCUUUUUUCUGGCUUUCUGGAAGAUCACAAAGGCCUACUGAAUUAACAAGGAAAUUGGCUUUUCAGCGCAGGAAACUCUGCCCUUGCCCACGAGAAUAUUUCACAAUGCCUCAACUCUACAGAUAGCAGAAGACCAUGCAGCAGUACAACACACAGGAAUACACAUCUCACAAAAUUAUCUGAGAGUACAGGGCUCAGCAACUUUUCUCAUGGGUCUAAAAAAUCCUUAGCUGUGACAUGUAGCAGCCUUCCAAGCUGCACAGCAUAAUUAUUUUCCUCCUUCUCAGUCUUC